GCUCAGUUGGUAGAGCACAACCUUGCCAAGGUUGGGGUCGCGAGUUCGAGCCUCGUUUCCCGCU
rnacentral:tRNA from 1 species